rnacentral:rRNA from 1 species
AUUGAACGCUGGCGGCAUGCCUUACACAUGCAAGUCGAACGGCAGCACGGGGGCAACCCUGGUGGCGAGUGGCGAACGGGUGAGUAACAUAUCGGAACGUGCCCUGGAGUGGGGGAUAACUAGUCGAAAGACUAGCUAAUACCGCAUACGAUCUACGGAUGAAAGUGGGGGAUCGCAAGACCUCAUGCUCGUGGAGCGGCCGAUAUCUGAUUAGCAGUUGGUGGGGUAAGGCCUACCAAGGCAUCGAUCAGUAGCUGGUCUGAGAGGACGACCAGCCACACUGGGACUGAGACACGGCCCAGACUCCUACGGGAGGCAGCAGUGGGGAAUUUUGGACAAUGGGCGCAAGCCUGAUCCAGCAAUGCCGCGUGAGUGAAG